UUGUAAAAUUAUAUUAUCAGUGUAAAUAAUUCACAUGUUAGAAACUUCUUUUUGGUUACUUUUUGAAUGUAUAAUUUUAGUUCUUGCAUUUUGAUGAACAGAAUGAUGGAAGCAGUUGGAAAUUUGAAUUUUUUUUGUAGUAUAGUGGUAUUAAUUAUAGUGAUACUGAACUUUCUUUUACAGCUAUAGAGCCCGCCUAUUUGAUUAACUAAUUUUCUUAAAUUAUCCACAGCUUUCUGAUACAGCAUCUCUUGCUUUCACUUUUUCUUUAUUUUUUUCCUUUCAUUCUUCCCUUAUACCCUGUCUCAUUUCAGAAAAGACUUGAGAUAGCAUAGCAUAUUCCACAAAAAUUAAAUAUCUAAAGAGUAAAUCACAGUCAAGUGCCUGUGAAAAUAUUAAUUAAAAUGAAAAAUCAGGAAUACAGACAGAUCAGAAUUCUAGAAAUUUAUUCAACUUCAGUAAUAUACUUAUCUCUGAGAUUUGUAAUGGUUAAGAUUAAAAGCACAACAUGAUUAUUCAUAUAAAUUUCACUGUUCAUGAGAAAACAUACCAUAUUCUCAAGAAAAUAAUUUUUUCAAAGCAUUUAUUUUUCAGGUGGAAUUUUUACAGAAGCCAUAAAAUGACAUCGUAGACAACAUAGAAACAAACACCAUGGCCAAUUUUAUUACAGUCUACCAACGCUGGAAAUGGAAGACCCCAAGGCAAAGAUGUCAAUUUAGGUGUAUCAAGAGGCCACAAGCUCAUAGACAGAAGAUAGAAGGAGACCCCAGAAUACACAUCAUCAAAUGAAGGGCCAAGGUGGUACUCACAAGAGAAUAUUUUCCUGACUUCUCAAGAGACCCAUGGCCGAAGAUUUCCUGUAGAGAGAGCUGAUGAAGGGAUUAAAUAGCCUCAACUUUACUGCUCUUGAGACCUGUGUCAACACCAGUGAAAAAUUCGUUGUUUCUUGCCAUGAAAUAAUGCCGCUCCUUAAACUUGCAUUUACUUGAAAAGCAAUAACUGGAGCAACAGCAGCCAUGCUGAAUCAUGCAGAAGAGGACCACCCUCUAGGAAUGGAGCAUUAGAAGUUGGAAAAAGCUUGUGUGUCACUAAUAAAACACUGCUCAAAUUAAGGUGAGGAAACUGAGGCAGCAAAAGGUUGUGCAACUUGUCCAACGCCUCAGAGUUAUGAAGUGUGGGGUCCAGAUCGCACAUGGGAAUUCUGGCGCACAGUCUCGCAAAACAAAGCAGUUGUUCACCAGUGUUUGCUGAAUUGAAUUGACUACUACAGUUUAUCAUGAUUAUCACCAACUUUGCAACCUAAACUAGCUCUCAGUAUUUCACAAAAUAGGGCAGGAUAAAUUGUUCUCCAGAAGGAGUAGUUAAUGUUUCAUACUGUUAAAUUGCCUAAUUUUCCAAUUGUUAAAUUGCCUAAUACGUUCUCUCUGAAUGGUGUUUUGUUUUCCUUGAAGAGGUAAACAAACAGUAAAACUCUUUCAUCUCAGCCAUCACGGAGUAAAGCUCCCCUCUAAGCAAUGCUUGCUUGGGUUAUAGCUGAUGUUAAAUCAUCUUUAAACAUUUAAAAGGCAAAGUGCUUUAUCCAUGGUGAUUUUAUUGUGCUAGAAAACAUUAAUUGUAGAUUAAGGUUCUUUCUGUCUCAACUUUGAUGUCUUUGGUAACCUUGAAGUCAAAUCUUUGUGUUAGCAAGAAUUGAAGAAUGGUGUUCAUCUAUUAGCCAAAAAGUUUGUCUUACAAUAAAAAAUGAGAUUGUUAAUGUUAUUAUUUAUAGUUCACCACGAAAUCUCUGUAAGGAGGUGGAUAUCAGAGAAAAAUUUCUUUGAAGAAAAAAAAAUUGCACACAUACACACACAAGCACAUAUUUAUGUUUCCCUGUUAGAAAGUAGUUCAUGCUUAAUACCCAAAACUUCAAAAAGCAUAUGGAGAAAUGGAACCAAUUAACCAUAAUUCCACAGCUUCAUAAUAGUCACUGUUACAAUUUUGAUGUUUAUCUUAACGGAUACUUGUUUUCAUGUUUGUCUGUAUAUCUCUAUGUUUCUCUUUAUAAAAAUAUAGACUUAAUCUAGCAUUCAAUAAAUGUAUGUUUUGAGGAAUUUUUCAUUUAUAAAUAUUUCAAUAAGGUCUUUCUAUGUCCAGAAAUACACUUUCAUAAUAUAGAUUUACUGGAUGCACAGUAAUCUAAUGAUAGCACCAUUGCGUAUUAAAGCAACAGACUUGAAACUGAAGAUAUUUUGACCUAUCUAAAAAUUUUUUACAUCUUCAGCUUUUCAAGAAUUGAAUACUAUGCAAAGUAGGCAUUUUAACUCACAUUAGUCAUGAUAAAUUGAAAAAAGAAUAUGUCUUUAAAACUUCAUAGAGUGUGCAUUUGAGAUCUGCAAAUAACCAGGACAAAUUCAUCCAUCUAUAAAUUUUAUACAUAUCAGAGUCCACCACAUUAAAGACAUUGCUAGCUCCACUCUGUCCCAUAAGACUUGGCCAAUGUGCAGAAAUGUUCAUGAUUAGUACAAAAUAACUUGACUGAGGUCAUCUAUCAACAUUCUGAAAUGGAAUCUGAAUGAAUUAACUGUUUUUUAAAACUGACACUGGUUCAAAUUCUGGGUCUGUCAGAAGAGCUCACAAUUGUAAUAUGUGUUAAGGGAAGAAAUUCUCAGAAACCAUUAAGAAAGCAUUAAUACUGGAUGUAUUUAUGACUGUUACAUUUUCACAAUCAUAUAUUCCUGCAAUUGUAUUUGAAUUUAUAAUUUCUUCCUUCUUUGUGUUAAGAGGUGGUAAAUCUUUUCAAAAAUAUAAAUGUUAAUAAAAAUUUGCAAAACAA